rnacentral:lncRNA from 1 species
GAAGUAAUACUCAACAAAGGCAAUUAAAUUAAGGAAAAUUAGUAAAAUGACAUAUAUAAUCAAGAAAUCCGAACUGAUAUGAUUAGUACAAACCGGCCUCUUUACUCUUGGUGCAAAAUAUCUAAUGUGAAGUCCUAAUUUUUUUGAGAUUUUUCACUGCUUAUCUUAAGCUUCUCUGAUCUAAAUGGCUUUUCACAAUUUUCGUUUGCAGGAAAAAGAUGAGAGAGAGUGGGCAUGAUAGAAAUAAGGAAAAGCAAAGGAAAUAAACUUAAAGAAAUUACACACAGAGAAGCAGAUGCGGAGGUAGAGUAUGUCUGUCGGGUUCAUCUGAACCCAAUAUUUUUGUUGCGGUUAAAAAAACUAUCACUAAAUUAAAAAAAAAAAAGGAAAGAAAGAAAAAUAACGACAUAUAAGAAAUGAGAAAGAUAAUUUUUUAAAUUAAUAUGGAUGUAAAAGAUAAUUCUACAUAUUGAUAAAUCAUAUACUUAGCAUUUUAAUUAGAAUUAGAUUUUAGGUUACUGCAUUUUUUCCUGAUUUUGUUUUUAAAAGAAAAGAGAAGAGAAAGAGUUUUUAAGAACAAAAUUUCACUUACAUAUAUUAUAAUAAAUGAAGAGAAAGUGAGAGGUUGAUACAUGACUUUUUAAGUACAAUUAUAUGUUAGAGGCAUGUAAAUCGAUUAUUUUUUCAUUAGAUAGUAAAACAUCG